CCUAGAGUUGUAGGCUUUGCCUGCUAUCUCUUACCCAUGUCUUUUGAGUACCUUACGUUUCCUCGGCGGGUCCGCCCGCCGAAUGGACAACCUUUAAACCCUUUGUAGUUUGUAAUCAGCGUCUGAAAAAACUUUAAUAGUUA
rnacentral:misc_RNA from 1 species